UAUGUCUCAAUAAGGUCCUGACAUCCCUGAAAAGGAAACUGGCGUCCAGAGAGGCAACAGGCUUUGUCCAAGGUGUCUGUGUCUGUGAAGGACCACCUAGUUAUCUGUCAAAAUGCAGCUUCUUCUUCCAUAGAAACAGAACCUCGAUUUAGUUGGAAGUGCCAAAGUGCCCA
rnacentral:lncRNA from 1 species